rnacentral:rRNA from 1 species
UGUAAGCGUAUACCAAAGUUGUUGCAGUUAAAACGCUCGUAGUCGGAAUUUGGCAGUUCCGGAUGUGUGCACGUCGUGUGCGCACUUCGCGGGGAUUGCUUUUGUGGUCUUGCGUAGGAUGAGGCACUUUUAUUAGUGAACGUCCUCACGCAACCACUUUUUACCGUGAGAAAAUCAGAGUGCUCAAAGCAGGCAUUUGCCGUGAAUGUAUUAGCAUGGAAUAAUAGAAUAGGACUCGGUUCUAUUUUGUUGGUUUGUUGGGACUGAGUAAUGAUUAAGAGGGACAGUUGGGGGCAUUUGUAUUUCGGUGCUAGAGGUGAAAUUCUUAGAUUACCGAAAGACAAACUGCUGCGAAAGCGUCUGCCAAGGAUGUUUUCAUUGA